rnacentral:rRNA from 1 species
GAUGAACGCUAGCUACAGGCUUAACACAUGCAAGUCGAGGGGCAGCAUGGUCUUAGCUUGCUAAGGCCGAUGGCGACCGGCGCACGGGUGAGUAACACGUAUCCAACCUGCCGUCUACUCUUGGACAGCCUUCUGAAAGGAAGAUUAAUACAAGAUGGCAUCAUGAGUUCACAUGUUCACAUGAUUAAAGGUAUUCCGGUAGACGAUGGGGAUGCGUUCCAUUAGAUAGUAGGCGGGGUAACGGCCCACCUAGUCUUCGAUGGAUAGGGGUUCUGAGAGGAAGGUCCCCCACAUUGGAACUGAGACACGGUCCAAACUCCUACGGGAGGCAGCAGUGAGGAAUAUUGGUCAAUGGGCGCAGGCCUGAACCAGCCAAGUAGCGUGAAGGAUGACUGCCCUAUGGGUUGUAAACUUCUUUUAUAAAGGAAUAAAGUCGGGUAUGUAUACCCGUUUGCAUGUACUUUAUGAAUAAGGAUCGGCUAACUCCGUG